UACGUAGGGGGCAAGCGUUGUCCGGAUUUAUUGGGCGUAAAGGGCGCGUAGGCUGCGGGGCAAGUCGGGUGUGAAAUCUCAGGGCUCAACCCUGAAACUGCACUCGAUACUGCUCUGCUUGAGGACUGGAGAGGAGACUGGAAUUCACGGUGUAGCAGUGAAAUGCGUAGAUAUCGUGAGGAAGACCAGUGGCGAAGGCGGGUCUCUGGACAGUUCCUGACGCUGAGGCGCGAAGGCCAGGGGAGCAAACGGG
rnacentral:rRNA from 1 species